rnacentral:rRNA from 1 species
CGAUAUGCCUCGGUUAGCUGUAAGUAAGCUUACCCGGGGGUUUCCGAAUGGGGCAACCCGAUCUUAAUGAUCAUCAUCUUUUUGAAUUCAUAGAUUAGAUGAAGCAAACGCUGUGAACUGAAACAUCUAAGUAGCAGUAGGAAAGUAAAGAAAUUUCGAUUCCGUCAGUAGCGGCGAGCGAACGCGGAAGAGCCCAAACCUGGGUGCUUGCAUCCAGGGGUUGUAGGACUGAUGUUGAGUUACAAAGGUAUAAGAUAGCAGAAACAGUUGGGAAGCUGUUCCAAAGAGGGUGACAGGCCCGUAUGCGAAAUCUUGUACUCUCUAAUCAGGAUCCUGAGUACGGCCCAGCACGUGAAAUUGGGUCGGAAUCUGGGAGGACCAUCUCCCAAGGCUAAAUACUAACUAGUGACCGAUAGCGAACAAGUACCGUGAGGGAAAGGUGAAAAGAACCCCGGAAGGGGAGUGAAAUAGUUCUUGAAACCGUGUGCUUACAAGAAGUUCGAGGCCGUUAAUGGCUGAGAGCGUGCUUUUUGUAGAAUGAACCGGAGAGUUACGAUUGCGUGCAAGGUUAAGGUGCAAAGACUGGAGCCGUAGCGAAAGCGAGUCUUAAUAGGGCGAAUCAGUACGUAGUUGUAGACCCGAAACCGAGUGACCUAUCCAUGGUCAGGUUGAAGGUGGGGUAAUACCUACUGGAGGACCGAACAAGUGGGUGUUAAAAAACCCUUUGAUGAACUGUGGAUAGCGGUGAAAUUCCAAUCGAACUCGGAGAUAGCUGGUUCUAUCCGAAAUACAUUUAGGUGUAGCCUUGCAAUUAGCUUACUGGAGGUAGAGCACUAUUUGGUCUAGGGGCCCUUCAAGGGUUACCAAAAUCAGAUAAACUCCGAAUGCCAGCUAAGUAUGUGCAGGAGUCAGACGGUGAGUGAUAAGAUCCAUCGUCAAAAGGGGAACAGCCCAGAUCACCAGUUAAGGUCCCUAAAUAUAUGCUAAGUGGAAAACGUUGUGAAGGUGCAUAGACAACUAGGAGGUUGGCUCAGAAGCAGCCACCCUUUAAAGAGUGCGUAAUAGCUCACUAGUCGAGUGCUCUUGCGCGGAUAAUGUACCGGGGCUAAGCAUAUUACCGAAACUGUGGAUGCGUAAGCAUGGUAGGAUAGCGUAAUUAACGCGAUGAAGGAUGACCGUAAGGACAUGUUGGAGCGUUAACUAGUGAGAAUUCCGGUAUGAGUAGCGAAAGAUAGGUGAGAAUCCUAUCCACCGAAUGAGUAAGGUUUCCCCCGGAAGGCUCGUCCGCGGGGGGUUAGUCGGGACCUAAGGCGAGGCUGAAAAGCGUAGUCGAUGGACAACAGGUUGAUAUUCCUGUACCGAUAUUUAAUUGCCGAAGGAAGGACGCAGAAGGAUAACACAGGCCACUAUUGGAUGUGGUUUUAAACAGUUAGUCUUCAUAAGAGUCAAAUGCUUUUAUGUUUAAGGAUAAGCUGUGAAUGUACCAAGUUUACUUGGAAAUUGUGUGAUUUCACGCUGCUGAAAAAAGUUUCGUAGGAAGAAAAUAUUGCCCGUACCGCAAACCGACACAGGUACUCAAGUGGAGAACACUAAGGUGAGCGAGUGAACUAUUGUUAAGGAACUCUGCAAAAUGAGUCCGUAACUUCGGAAGAAGGACUGCUGGUUUUAUACCAGCCGCAGCAAAUAGGCCCAAACAACUGUUUAUCAAAAACACAGGUUUCUGCAAAAUCGUAAGAUGAAGUAUAGGGGCUGACGCCUGCCCAGUGCUGGAAGGUUAAAAGGAGGACUUAGCUUCGGCGAAGGUCUUAAUUGAAGCCCCAGUGAACGGCGGCCGUAACUAUAACGGUCCUAAGGUAGCGAAAUUCCUUGUCGGGUAAGUUCCGACCCGCAUGAAAGGCGUAAUGAUUUGGGCGCUGUCUCAACAAUAGACUCGGUGAAAUUUAAAUUCCAGUGAAGAUGCUGGGUACCCGCGACAGGACGGAAAGACCCCGUGGAGCUUUACUGUAGCUUGAUAUUGAAUGUUUGUGCUGCAUGUGCAGGAUAGGUAGGAGACUUUGAAGUCGGAACGCUAGUUUCGAUUGAGUCACCCUUGAGAUACUACCUCUGUUGUAUGAACGUUCUAACUCUGAUCAGUUAUCCUGAUCGAAGACAGUGUCUGGCAGGCAGUUUGACUGGGGCGGUCGCCUCCUAAAAGAUAACGGAGGCGCUCAAAGGUUUGCUCAGAAUGGUUGGAAAUCAUUCGUAGCGUGUAAAGGCAUAAGCAAGCUUGACUGUGAGACUGACAAGUCGAGCAGGUACGAAA